CAAGGCUUUUGGGAGCUUGUUGGAAUCUCUCCCAUGUCCUUCUGGCCAUAAGAAGCAAUGAGGAUUCUCUGGGUCUUGUCCAAUGGUCAGGCGUCUCACAUCAUCCGGCCGCCCAGUCGGUUCCAGAGGAUCGAGCCGUCUGUCUCUCCAGAACAAAGACCACUGUUAAACUAGGCUGGAGCAACAGAAGAUGGUUAUGAUGACUGAAAUGAAGCAACCUCAUGUACAGUAAAUGUAAAUCACAUGCCACAGUACGAAUUAUAGAAAUGUUCUUGCUCAAUCUAUGUGGGCCAAAUUGGAGCCCAGGAAAGACUUUACAAUUUUUAGCCACAGUAAUGUUGGAUACUGUCAGUUGUACAUAUUCUAGAUCCAAUGUCAAUUCAAUGAUCAAAUGUCACACAGAAAAAGGCUAAUUCUAUUAUAUUCAUAGUUUUUAGUAAUAAACUACACUGUCAAACAGUUAUCUGGAAAAUUAUUUAUGUUUAAAGGUCAAUGUUGUAUGAAUAUAUGAAUAUACACCAAUCAGGUAUAACAUUAUGACCACUGACAGGUGAAGUAAAUAACAUUGAUUACUUCUUCAUCACGGCACCUGUUAGUGGGUGGGAUAUAUUAGACAGCAAGUAAACAUUUUGUCCUCAAAGUUGAUGUGUUAGAAGCAGGAAAAAAGGAUUUGAGUGAGUUUGACAAUACGCUGAUUUGGAGAGACACAGAGGAGAGGAAUUGUUGAAUAAAGUCAUUAUUUUUGUUUUCUUCAUGUACAAAAACUAUUCUCGUCGCUUCAUAACGUUACCGUUUAAUCACUGAUGGGAGAUGGACUAUUCUGACGAUGGUUUUCAUACUUUUCUGGACCUUGACACUGUUAGUCACAAGCCUCCCGAUUUUCAUCCAAAAUAUCUUAAAUUGUGUUCCGAAGACAAACGAAGCAUUUACGGGUUUGGAACGACAGGGGGUAAUUUAUUAAUGACAAAAUUUUCAUUUUGCAGUGGAGAAACCGUUUAAGCUUUUGCUUAUGUUCUUCUCAAUGUAAUAUCUUGCAUAUACACCUGUUCUGUGCUGCGGAUGAAGUAUUUUCAUAUGCACAAAUCCAAUGUGAAAGCACAAAUGGCUGCAAUUUUAUAUUGAUCUCAUGCUGCCUAAGAUUGAUUUGCACUUAAAUGCUAUAGCUAUGAAUUUUCCGAUUGCUCUAAGACAGGCUUCCUCGAGGGGGUCGAACAUCAUGCAAGACUAAACGCGAUAGGAUUUAAUGUGAGUGGCCACAGGUCAAUACGGAUAUUCACACAAGGCUGUGAUGAGUUCAAUGUUUGUCAAACAUAAAUCAACACAGACAGCCCUAGGGCUAACGUACGCCAGGGAGUAGCCACAAAUCUUAGGAUACUGCAGGAGAUAAUGGAGCCGCAGCCAAGCGGGGCUUAAAGAUCCUUGAUUUGAAACGGUGCACACGUGUGAAUGACAGAAACGGGUUUUUCACAUCUGACACUCUGCAUUCGCUUCCCAUUCGGAGUCGAUAAGAUGUUUUGCAUUGGUGACGAAGCAUGAUUUCGAUAUCAAGCUUUUAAUCUUCUACAGAAGGACACAGGGAAUGAGCAUGUCAUAGCAGCCUAUUUCAGUUCCCACAAAGCUCUUCAGAGAGGAAGCAAUUUCUCAUUGAACAUGACAACUGCAUUACAUACCCACAAAAGGAAAUUGAAGCCCCAAAUUGAAUUUACCUUAUAGAGUCAAAGAUAGGUGCGCUUUGGAUACUGAUGUAAAUGCAAUCUGAAUUGUGUGUCUUUCACAUGAAGCUGUUUUAGAUACUCGCAAGUAGUUCAUCAUGUGUUUUUAUCUUUAAAUGGGCUUAUGCUGCAUUCCAGAACUUGGAUUUCUCCCACAUCCUACUUGAAAAUGAUAACUGGAAAAUCUAAUAAAUGGUCUUAAUCC
ensembl:lncRNA